rnacentral:rRNA from 1 species
UUAAGCGACUAAGCGUACACGGUGGAUGCCCUGGCAGUCAGAGGCGAUGAAGGACGUGCUAAUCUGCGAAAAGCGUCGGUAAGGUGAUAUGAACCGUUAUAACCGGCGAUGUCCGAAUGGGGAAACCCAGUGCAAUUCGUUGCACUAUCGUUAACUGAAUACAUAGGUUAACGAGGCGAACCGGGGGAACUGAAACAUCUAAGUACCCCGAGGAAAAGAAAUCAACCGAGAUUCCCCCAGUAGCGGCGAGCGAACGGGGAGCAGCCCAGAGUCUGAAUCAGCUUGUGUGUUAGUGGAACGGUCUGGAAAGUCCGACGGUACAGGGUGAUAGUCCCGUACACCAAAAUGCACAGGCUGUGAACUCGAAGAGUAGGGCGGGACACGUGGUAUCCUGUCUGAAUAUGGGGGGACCAUCCUCCAAGGCUAAAUACUCCUGACUGACCGAUAGUGAACCAGUACCGUGAGGGAAAGGCGAAAAGAACCCCGGCGAGGGGAGUGAAAAAGAACCUGAAACCGUGUACGUACAAGCAGUGGGAGCACCUUCGGGUGUGACUGCGUACCUUUUGUAUAAUGGGUCAGCGACUUAUAUUCUGUAGCAAGGUUAACCGUAUAGGGGAGCCGCAGGGAAACCGAGUCUUAACUGGGCGUUAAGUUGCAGGGUAUAGACCCGAAACCCGGUGAUCUAGCCAUGGGCAGGUUGAAGGUUGGGUAACACUAACUGGAGGACCGAACCGACUAAUGUUGAAAAAUUAGCGGAUGACUUGUGGCUGGGGGUGAAAGGCCAAUCAAACCGGGAGAUAGCUGGUUCUCCCCGAAAGCUAUUUAGGUAGCGCCUCGUGAAUUCAUCUUCGGGGGUAGAGCACUGUUUCGGCUAGGGGGUCAUCCCGACUUACCAACCCGAUGCAAACUACGAAUACCGAAGAAUGUUAUCACGGGAGACACACGGCGGGUGCUAACGUCCGUCGUGAAGAGGGAAACAACCCAGACCGCCAGCUAAGGUCCCAAAGUCAUGGUUAAGUGGGAAACGAUGUGGGAAGGCACAGACAGCCAGGAUGUUGGCUUAGAAGCAGCCAUCAUUUAAAGAAAGCGUAAUAGCUCACUGGUCGAGUCGGCCUGCGCGGAAGAUGUAACGGGGCUAAACCAUGCACCGAAGCUGCGGCAGCGACACUAUGUGUUGUUGGGUAGGGGAGCGUUCUGUAAGCCUGCGAAGGUGUGCUGUGAGGCAUGCUGGAGGUAUCAGAAGUGCGAAUGCUGACAUAAGUAACGAUAAAGCGGGUGAAAAGCCCGCUCGCCGGAAGACCAAGGGUUCCUGUCCAACGUUAAUCGGGGCAGGGUGAGUCGACCCCUAAGGCGAGGCCGAAAGGCGUAGUCGAUGGGAAACAGGUUAAUAUUCCUGUACUUGGUGUUACUGCGAAGGGGGGACGGAGAAGGCUAUGUUAGCCGGGCGACGGUUGUCCCGGUUUAAGCAUGUAGGCUGGUUGUCCAGGCAAAUCCGGAUAAUCAAGGCUGAGGUGUGAUGACGAGGCACUACGGUGCUGAAGUAACAAAUGCCCUGCUUCCAGGAAAAGCCUCUAAGCAUCAGGUAACAUCAAAUCGUACCCCAAACCGACACAGGUGGUCAGGUAGAGAAUACCAAGGCGCUUGAGAGAACUCGGGUGAAGGAACUAGGCAAAAUGGUGCCGUAACUUCGGGAGAAGGCACGCUGGUGUGUAGGUGAAGUCCCUGCGGAUGGAGCUGAGACCAGUCGAAGAUACCAGCUGGCUGCAACUGUUUAUUAAAAACACAGCACUGUGCAAACACGAAAGUGGACGUAUACGGUGUGACGCCUGCCCGGUGCCGGAAGGUUAAUUGAUGGGGUUAUCCGUAAGGAGAAGCUCUUGAUCGAAGCCCCGGUAAACGGCGGCCGUAACUAUAACGGUCCUAAGGUAGCGAAAUUCCUUGUCGGGUAAGUUCCGACCUGCACGAAUGGCGUAAUGAUGGCCAGGCUGUCUCCACCCGAGACUCAGUGAAAUUGAACUCGCUGUGAAGAUGCAGUGUACCCGCGGCAAGACGGAAAGACCCCGUGAACCUUUACUAUAGCUUGACACUGAACAUUGAGCCUUGAUGUGUAGGAUAGGUGGGAGGCUUUGAAGCGUGGACGCCAGUCUGCGUGGAGCCAACCUUGAAAUACCACCCUUUAAUGUUUGAUGUUCUAACGUUGGCCCCUUACCGGGGUUGCGGACAGUGUCUGGUGGGUAGUUUGACUGGGGCGGUCUCCUCCCAAAGCGUAACGGAGGAGCACGAAGGUUAGCUAAUCCUGGUCGGACAUCAGGAGGUUAGUGCAAUGGCAUAAGCUAGCUUGACUGCGAGCGUGACGGCGCGAGCAGGUGCGAAAGCAGGUCAUAGUGAUCCGGUGGUUCUGAAUGGAAGGGCCAUCGCUCAACGGAUAAAAGGUACUCCGGGGAUAACAGGCUGAUACCGCCCAAGAGUUCAUAUCGACGGCGGUGUUUGGCACCUCGAUGUCGGCUCAUCACAUCCUGGGGCUGAAGUAGGUCCCAAGGGUAUGGCUGUUCGCCAUUUAAAGUGGUACGCGAGCUGGGUUUAGAACGUCGUGAGACAGUUCGGUCCCUAUCUGCCGUGGGCGCUGGAGAAUUGAGGGGGGCUGCUCCUAGUACGAGAGGACCGGAGUGGACGCAUCACUGGUGUUCGGGUUGUCAUGCCAAUGGCACUGCCCGGUAGCUAAAUGCGGAAGAGAUAAGUGCUGAAAGCAUCUAAGCACGAAACUUGCCCCGAGAUGAGUUCUCCCUGAGACUUUAAGUCUCCUGAAGGAACGUUAAAGACGAUGACGUUGAUAGGCCGGGUGUGUAAGCGCAGCGAUGCGUUGAGCUAACCGGUACUAAUGAACCGUGAGGCUUAACCU